GUAACACGUAGUCAACCUGCCCUGGAGACAUGGACAACCCCGGGAAACUGGGAUUAAUCCGUGAUAGGUCAUCCCAUCUGGAAGGAGGGAUGGCUUAAAGGGGCGCGCGGGCUUCUUCUGCGCGUCCGCUCCAGGAUGGGACUGCGUCCGAUCAGGCUGUUGGCGGGGUAAUGGCCCACCAAACCUGUAACCGGUACGGGCCUUGAGAGAGGUGGCCCGGAGAUGGACACUGAGAGAAGGGUCCAGGUCCUACGGGGCGCAGCAGGCGCGAAACCUUCGCAAUGCGCGAAAGCGUGACGAGGUUAAUCCGAGUGGUCCCCGCUGAGGGGACCUUUUGUCAGCUGUAAAUAGGCGGGCGAAUAAGGGGAGGGCAAGCCUGGUGUCAGCCGCCGCGGUAAUACCAGCUCCUCGAGUGGUCGGGGCGAUUAUUGGGCCUAAAGCAUCCGUAGCCGGUUCCGUAGGUCCUCUGUUAAAUCCACCCGCCCAACGGGUGACCUGCAGAGGAUGCCGCGGGACU
rnacentral:rRNA from 1 species